AGGACGAACGCUGGCGGCGUGCUUAACACAUGCAAGUCGAGCGGUAAGGCCUUUCGGGGUACACGAGCGGCGAACGGGUGAGUAACACGUGGGUGAUCUGCCCUGCACUUCGGGAUAAGCCUGGGAAACUGGGUCUAAUACCGGAUAUGACCUCCUAUCGCAUGGUGGGUGGUGGAAAGAUUUAUCGGUGCAGGAUGGGCCCGCGGCCUAUCAGCUUGUUGGUGGGUAAUGGCCUACCAAGGCGACGACGGGUAGCCGACCUGAGAGGGUGACCGGCCACACGUGGGACUGAGACACGGCCCAGACUCCGUACGGGAGGCAGCGAGUGGGGAAUAGUGCGACAAGUGGGCGAAAGCCGUGAUGCGAGCGACGCCGCGUGAGGAUAGCGGUCC
rnacentral:rRNA from 1 species